UCCAGCCAUACCGCGUGGGUGAAGAAGGCCUUCGGGUUGUAAAGCACUUUCGUUCCGUACGAAAUCAAGGCUAGCCUAUAGCCUGGUCGGGAAUGACCGUAACCAAAGGAAUAAGCAACCGGCCUACCUCGUGCCAGCAGCCGCCGGUAAUACGAAGGGUGCAAGCGUUACUCGGAAUUAACUGGGCGUAAAGCGUGCGUAGGUGGUCGUUUAAAGUCCGUUGUGAAAGCCCUGGGCUCAACCUGGGAACUGCAGUGGAUACUGGGCGACUAGAGUGUGGUAGAGGGUAGCGGAAUUCCUGGUGUAGCAGUGAAAUGCGUAGAGAUCAGGAGGAACAUCCAUGGCGAAGGCAGCUACCUGGACCAACACUGACACUGAGGCACGAAAGCGUGGGGAGCAAACAGGAUUAGAUACCCUGGUAGUCCACGCCCUAAACGAUGCGAACUGGAUGUUGGGUGCAAUUUGGCACGCAGUAUCGAAGCUAACGCGUUAAGUUCGCCGCCUGGGGGAGUACGGUCGCAAGGACUGAAACUCAAAGGAAUUGACGGGGGGGCCCGCACAAGCGGUGGAGUAUGUGGGUUUAAUUCGAUGCAACGCGGAAGAAGCCUUUACCUGGUCCUUGAACAUGUCCGAGAACUUUCCCAGAGAUGGGAUGGGUGCCCUUCGGGAACUCGAACCACAGGUGCUUGCCAUGGCUGUCGUUCAGGCUCGUGUUCCGUGAGAAUGUAUGGGGUUAAGUUCCGCGCAAC
rnacentral:rRNA from 1 species